rnacentral:rRNA from 1 species
GGGUCAGUAGGUUGGUCGUGCCACCGGUACGUACUGGUCUCACCGAUUCCUCCUUCCUGAAGAACCGUAAUGCCAUUAAUUUGGUGUUGCGGGGAAACAGGACUGUUACUUUGAAAAAAUUAGAGUGUUUAAGGCAAGCUAACGCUUGAAUACAUUAGCAUGGAAUAAUGAAAUAGGACGAUCGAUCCUAUUUUGUUGGUUUCUAGGAUUGACGUA